GAUGAACGCUGGCGGCGUGCCUAAUACAUGCAAGUCGAGCGAACGGACGAGAAGCUUGCUUCUCUGAUGUUAGCGGCGGACGGGUGAGUAACACGUGGAUAACCUACCUAUAAGACUGGGAUAACUUCGGGAAACCGGAGCUAAUACCGGAUAAUAUUUUGAACCGCAUGGUUCAAAAGUGAAAGACGGUCUUGCUGUCACUUAUAGAUGGAUCCGCGCUGCAUUAGCUAGUUGGUAAGGUAACGGCUUACCAAGGCAACGAUGCAUAGCCGACCUGAGAGGGUGAUCGGCCACACUGGAACUGAGACACGGUCCAGACUCCUACGGGAGGCAGCAGUAGGGAAUCUUCCGCAAUGGGCGAAAGCCUGACGGAGCAACGCCGCGUGAGUGAUGAAGGUCUUCGGAUCGUAAAACUCUGUUAUUAGGGAAGAACAUAUGUGUAAGUAACUGUGCACAUCUUGACGGUACCUAAUCAGAAAGCCACGGCUAACUACGUGCCAGCAGCCGCGGUAAUACGUAGGUGGCAAGCGUUAUCCGGAAUUAUUGGGCGUAAAGCGCGCGUAGGCGGUUUUUUAAGUCUGAUGUGAAAGCCCACGGCUCAACCGUGGAGGGUCAUUGGAAACUGGAAAACUUGAGUGCAGAAGAGGAAAGUGGAACUCCAUGUGUAGCGGUGAAAUGCGCAGAGAUAUGGAGGAACACCAGUGGCGAAGGCGACUUUCUGGUCUGUAACUGACGCUGAUGUGCGAAAGCGUGGGGAUCAAACAGGAUUAGAUACCCUGGUAGUCCACGCCGUAAACGAUGAGUGCUAAGUGUUAGGGGGUUUCCGCCCCUUAGUGCUGCAGCUAACGCAUUAAGCACUCCGCCUGGGGAGUACGACCGCAAGGUUGAAACUCAAAGGAAUUGACGGGGACCCGCACAAGCGGUGGAGCAUGUGGUUUAAUUCGAAGCAACGCGAAGAACCUUACCAAAUCUUGACAUCCUUUGACAACUCUAGAGAUAGAGCUUUCCCCUUCGGGGGACAAAGUGACAGGUGGUGCAUGGUUGUCGUCAGCUCGUGUCGUGAGAUGUUGGGUUAAGUCCCGCAACGAGCGCAACCCUUAAGCUUAGUUGCCAUCAUUAAGUUGGGCACUCUAAGUUGACUGCCGGUGACAAACCGGAGGAAGGUGGGGAUGACGUCAAAUCAUCAUGCCCCUUAUGAUUUGGGCUACACACGUGCUACAAUGGACAAUACAAAGGGCAGCGAAACCGUGAGGUCAAGCAAAUCCCAUAAAGUUGUUCUCAGUUCGGAUUGUAGUCUGCAACUCGACUACAUGAAGCUGGAAUCGCUAGUAAUCGUAGAUCAGCAUGCUACGGUGAAUACGUUCCCGGGUCU
rnacentral:rRNA from 1 species